AAUUAUUUGAUGCCCCAAAUCUGCACUAAAUGGUAGCUAAACAAGUCACCCACUAUAGCUCUCUCUCUCUCCGCUCUAAAUGGUUGUUUCUUUAUGAAGCACUGCCGCUGCAGGGCAGAGCAAGCUUUUCACCUAUACUAAAUAUUUCUGCACACAUUUUUGAUCUGCUACUGAAUAUUCUAAAUCUAUCAUACUGUUCUGGUACCAUUAUCUAACAUAUUGAAGAAGUUCGAUGGUGAGACUGACAUAGGUUGUUCGGCCAUCCACACCCUGACCUUGACUGAAUCUCUAUGUGGCUUCCAAUUUGUUCUGACUCACUUCGAUAACAGGCAGCUGCUGAUCAAAUCAAAUCCUGGUGAAGUUGUGAGGCCUGAUUCUUUCAAGGCGAUUAAUGACGAGGGCAUGCCCAUGUACCAGAGGCCCUUCAUGAAGGGCAAGCCGUACAUCCACUCCUCGGUUGAGUUCCCGGACUCCUUGAACCCGGAGCAGUGCAAGGCCCUGGAGCUGUAGGCCGUGCUCCUGCCGAAGCCUAAAACACAAUACACCGACAUGGAGCUGGACGAGUGGAGAAAAUGCCGUAUGACGUAUUGAGGAAUAGAUGCGGAGUCGGCAGCAAUAGCACCAGGAGGCCUACGACGAGGAGGCAGACAUGCCUGGCGGCGCCUAGAGGGUGCAGUGCGCCCAGCAGUAGGUGGCUGGCGCCGCAGCAAGAAUUGUUUGAUGGUGGCGGCAAAUUUGUUUUUAAGCAUUGUGCGACUAUUGUUGGCUCCAAGUAUUAUCUCCGUACGAUAUACUAACGUGCACCACUUUUAAAAAUUAUAAACUAUAAUAUUGUUUAUGUA